rnacentral:rRNA from 1 species
AGUGAACGCUGGCGGUAGGCCUAACACAUGCAAGUCGAACGGCAGCACAGGAGAGCUUGCUCUCUGGGUGGCGAGUGGCGGACGGGUGAGGAAUACAUCGGAAUCUACUUUUUCGUGGGGGAUAACGUAGGGAAACUUACGCUAAUACCGCAUACGACCUACGGGUGAAAGCAGGGGACCUUCGGGCCUUGCGCGAUUGAAUGAGCCGAUGUCGGAUUAGCUAGUUGGCGGGGUAAAGGCCCACCAAGGCGACGAUCCGUAGCUGGUCUGGGAGGAUGAUCAGCCACACUGGAACUGAGACACGGUCCAGACUCCUACGGGAGGCGGCAGUGGGGAAUAUUGGACAAUGGGCGCAAGCCUGAUCCAGCCAUACCGCGUGGGUGAAGAAGGCCUUCGGGUUGUAAAGCCCUUUUGUUGGGAAAGAAAUCCAGCUGGCUAAUACCCGGUUGGGAUGACGGUACCCAAAGAAUAAGCACCGGCUAACCUCGUGCCGGCCGCCGCCGUAA